GGGUGACUAGUCUAGUGGUCAGGACGUUUCGUUGUGGUUCUGCAUUCAGAUGCCACUGAAGCCCGAAGAAACCCCGGUUCGAUUCCGGGGUCGCCCA